UACGAACCGUACAAACGUUAUUCGGAAUCACUGGGCUUAAAGGGUGCGUAGGCGGCCAUGUAAGUGAGGUGUGAAAUCCCUCGGCUCAACCGAGGAACUGCGCUUCAUACUGCAUGGCUUGAGGGAGACAGGGGUAAGCGGAACUGAUGGUGGAGCGGUGAAAUGCGUAGAUAUCUGGAGGAAUACCGGUGGCGAAGGCGGCAUCCUGGACCGGCAUUGACGCUGAGGAGCGAAAGCCAGGGGAGCAACGGG
rnacentral:rRNA from 1 species